AGCGAACGCUGGCGGCAGGCCUAACACAUGCAAGUCGAACGGACCCUUCGGGGUUAGUGGCGGACGGGUGAGUAACACGUGGGAACGUGCCUUUAGGUUCGGAAUAGCUCCUGGAAACGGGUGGUAAUGCCGAAUGUGCCCUUCGGGGGAAAGAUUUAUCGCCUUUAGAGCGGCCCGCGUCUGAUUAGCUAGUUGGUGGUGUAACGGACCACCAAGGCGACGAGCAGUAGCUGGUCUGAGAGGAUGAUCAGCCACAUUGGGACUGAGACACGGCCCAAACUCCUACGGGAGGCAGCAGUGGGGAAUCUUGCGCAAUGGGCGAAAGCCUGACGCAGCCAUGCCGCGUGAAUGAUGAAGGUCUUAGGAUUGUAAAAUUCUUUCACCGGGGACGAUAAUGACGGUACCCGGAGAAGAAGCCCCGGCUAACUUCGUGCCAGCCGCCGCGGUAAUAC
rnacentral:rRNA from 1 species